UAAAGUUGUUGCAGUUAAAAAGCUCGUAGUUAAAUUUCGAGAUCAAUACGUCGGUCGUGCCUUCGGUAUGUACUGGCGUUGUUGGUUUCUCCUUUCUGAGGAGCCAUGAUGCCAUUAAUUUGGUGUCGUGGGGAAUCAGGACUGUUACUUUGAAAAAAUUAGAGUGUUUAAAGCAGGCACACGCUUGAAUACAUUAGCAUGGAAUAAUGGAAUAGNACGUUCGAUUCUAUUUUGUUGGUUUCUAGGAUCAACGUAAUGAUUAAUAGGG
rnacentral:rRNA from 1 species